rnacentral:rRNA from 1 species
AACGAACGCUGGCUGCAUGCCUAACACAUGCAAGUCGAACGAGACCUUCGGGUCUAGUGGCGCACGGGUGCGUAACGCGUGGGAACCUGCCCUUAGGUUCGGAAUAACUCCCCGAAAGGGGUGCUAAUACCGGAUAAUGUCUUCGGACCAAAGAUUUAUCGCCUUUGGAUGGGCCCGCGUUGGAUUAGCUAGUUGGUAGGGUAAAAGCCUACCAAGGCGACGAUCCAUAGCUGGUCUGAGAGGAUGAUCAGCCACACUGGGACUGAGACACGGCCCAGACUCCUACGGGAGGCAGCAGUGGGGAAUAUUGGACAAUGGGCGAAAGCCUGAUCCAGCAAUGCCGCGUGAGUGAUGAAGGCCUUAGGGUUGUAAAGCUCUUUUACCCGGGAUGAUAAUGACAGUACCGGGAGAAUAAGCUCCGGCUAACUCCGUG